AUUAAAACUCCAGCUGAUAAAAUUGACAAAGGCGAGAGAGCCUCUCGUCCCUCGCGGCCACCGAGCUGGCGCAGCCAAUGAUGCCCGAGGCGAGGGGGAGGGACCAUUGGAGCGCCGGGCAGAGCCAGACCCAAGCAAAAACAAAGCCGUCUCUCUGAAACAAAACCGAAACAGACGUGGCCAGGGAAAGGAAAAUAAAUCCUUGGCCAAAAGAGAUUUGACGACAAGAAAAGAAGACCGUCUCCAGACUGUCCCCGCUGGCACUAGCGGGACCCGGCCAGAAGUGCCUCGUGAGUGACAUUGAGGUGGCUGGAUUCAGACACAUCACGCACCAGUUUGGGUUCCAAGGUGCUUCCCUCUGAAUUUUCACCUGCCUUGCCAAAAAUGAUUGAUUACGCUGGGCCGGCUGGG
rnacentral:lncRNA from 1 species